UAGGUUACGGUAGGAGAUACCCUAUAUAGGGAGCCGAAGAGGAAAGGGAGCAGAUCCCGAAACUUUCAGGCAAAAGGACUACCGCAACAAA
rnacentral:ncRNA from 2 species